rnacentral:rRNA from 1 species
GUGGGGAAUUUUGGACAAUGGGCGCAAGCCCGAUCCAGCAAUGCCGCGUGCAGGAAGAAGGCCUUCGGGUUGUAAACUGCUUUUGUACGGAACGAAACGGUCCGGGUUAAUACCCUGGGCUAAUGACGGUACCGUAAGAAUAAGCACCGGCUAACUACGUGCCAGCAGCCGCGGUAAUACGUAGGGUGCAAGCGUUAAUCGGAAUUACUGGGCGUAAAGCGUGCGCAGGCGGUUUUGUAAGACAGGCGUGAAAUCCCCGGGCUCAACCUGGGAAUUGCGCUUGUGACUGCAAGGCUGGAGUGCGGCAGAGGGGGAUGGAAUUCCGCGUGUAGCAGUGAAAUGCGUAGAUAUGCGGAGGAACACCGAUGGCGAAGGCAAUCCCCUGGGCCUGCACUGACGCUCAUGCACGAAAGCGUGGGGAGCAAACAGGAUUAGAAACCCUGGUAGUCC